rnacentral:snRNA from 1 species
GGAUGUGAAGGCAAUCUGGCUAUGACAUCUGUCAGCCCACUGAUUGCCAGGGUUGAUUCAGCUGAUCAAGCUGGCCAGGUGGGUGUUGCCUUCCUCCCCCCAUCACUCCAUGUGUGUCUUUCCCAAAGCUGCCCACUUGGUUCAAGAGGAUGACCAGUCUUUUGUCAAGGGUAUAGGGGUAGAGAAAGCUCCCCUGUAGAACUGCCAAACAAGCUCUCAAAAUUUAAUCAAUAUUCGAACAAGACAAUUUGUCAUCAGUGCUUAGCCAGCUAACAAAGACGACCGCAGCUCUGCUAAUCCUGUGUUUUUAAUU